ACUUUUUUUUUAAGUAUAAUUAUUUUAUCACUUCUAAACUAACUGUUUCUAUACUUAAUUUGGUAUUGAGGUCUAUCUUAUCUAACGCUAUUAGAUAGAAUGGAGUUGAGAAAAAGCAUAUAGAGACAUGCUUCUGCGUUUUCUGAUGGGACCGUAGAAAAUAUAUCGUAACUAACUAACCGCAAUAUGCGGAACGCAAUAUUAUGUAUCGAAAUAAACAUGGUAUUUUUUAAUCGUCGUUUCUCACCGCACGUAAUGCAAUCUCCUCGCAAUCCCAAACGAAACCUUAGUGUAAGUGACAAAGGAUUUAAUAGUUCAAUUUUUGAAAUCUAGUUGCUUUACUUUUUUCAGGCAAAUUUAUUUCUGAAAAUGAACGAAACAGCUAGGAUACUAUUUUUCAAUCUAAGAUGUACGA
rnacentral:lncRNA from 1 species